AGAGAGAGACAUGCGCGCAUAUCAAUAAGCGGAGGAAAAGAAACUAACAAGGAUUCCCUUAGUAACGGCGAGUGAAGCGGGAAGAGCUCAGAUUUGAAAUCUUCAAGGUUUUACCUUGACGAAUUGUAGUUUAAAGAAGUGUUUUCUGCUGAAGUUUUGGUAAAAGUUCUUUGGAAUAGGACAUCAUAGAGGGUGAGAAUCCCGUAUUUGACCAUUAUUUUCAGCUUUGUGAUACACUUUCAAAGAGUCGGAUUGUUUGGGAUGCAGUCCAAAAUGGGUGGUAAAUUUCAUCUAAAGCUAAGUAUUGGCGAGAGACCGAUAGCGAACAAGUACCGUGAGGGAAAGAUGAAAAGAACUUUGAAAAGAGAGUUAAACAGUACGUGAAAUUGUCAAAAGGGAAGCGUUUGACACCAGUGUUGUUUUCUCGAAAAUCAAUUAAAAAUGGCUCGAUUUUGUAUUGCUGAGACCUUAAAAGCUCACUGUACAUUUUUCGUGUCUUUUUUAAUGCACUUUUCGUUUAACAAGUCAACAUCAGUUUCUUUUGUUGUAAAAGGGUCAUUGGAAGGUGGCUUUCUUUUCGGAGAAAGUGUUUAUAGCCUUUGGCCUCUGCAAUCGGAAGAGACUGAGGUCUGCAGCGUAGACUCUUCGGGGUUAGAUACAUUUGUGCUAAGUUAUAGCUUUUUAUAGACAACUUGUUGACUAUAAUUAGUCUUGUAGCUUACUCGCUUAUGCUAUUUUACCUACGCUUAGGAUGUUGAAGUCAUCGUAUCGCGC
rnacentral:rRNA from 1 species